UCCAGGCAAUGCGUUAUCAGCCUGGAGUUAGUCGAUCCUAAGAAUUACCUCAACAGAGUAAUUCGAAUGGGAAACUGGUUAAUAUUCCAGUACCUUGCUGAUACGUUAUCAUCUACAUGAGUUGCUUCUAGAUAGGGUGAGUAGAACCGUCGUUUUAUCUAACUGUUCGAGAUUCAGGGAGUGUCGUAAUGACGAGAACUGAUUCGAGGCAGGAAUGGCUUUGCGUUAGCAGAGUUCACUCAACUCUAGGGGACCAUGAAAGUUUGUGUAGAGAGUAUUAGCAAUGUUCGUACCGAGAACCGACACAGGUGCGCUAGCUUAGAAAGCUAAGGUGCUACGGGUAUACCGUAUGGCGAGGGAAUUCGGCAAAUUAGUCCUGUAGCUUAGGUAUAAGGGAUGCCUGCUGUUUUAAUGAGGAAUUGGAACAGCAGGUUGCAAUAACUAGGGGGUUCCGACUGUUUAAUAAAAACACAGGCGACUGCUAGUCCGAAAGGAUUUGUAUAGUCGCUGAAUCCUGGCCGGUGCAGGUACCUAAAACUGGUAGCCAAAUGCCUUGUCGGGUAAGUUCCGACGCGCAUGAAUGGAACAACGAGAGCCCCACUGUCCCCGCCUACAACCCGGUGAAGCCACAUAAGGUGGACGAACAGUCCAUCAUCUUCCAUCGGGGAGAGAAGACCCCGUGGAGUUUUACUGCAGCUUGUGCUUGUAGUAUAGUACGAAUUACAUAGUGUAUCUGGUAGCCAUGCCUGAAUUUCUUUGGGAAUUCAGUGAAGCGACGAUGUAACACCAGAUUAUUCUUGCAGUACUUCUUAUCUGAUGCAAAUCAGAAACAGGUGCAGGUAGGCAGUUCGGCUGGGGCGGCACCCCUUUGAAAAGAUAUCAAAGGGGCCCAAAGUUUAGUUCAAACGGGUCAGAAAUCCGUUGAAGAGGGCAAAGCCAAAAACUAGACUGACAGGAUUUCCAAACGCACGGAAUUCUGAGACGAAAGUCUGGCUUAGCGAUCCUUCGUGUGCCCACUAUUGGGGCCCGGAGGUGACAGAAAAAUUACCCCAGGGAUAACAGGCUCGUCGCGGGCGAGAGCUCCUAUCGACCCCGCGGUUUGGUACCUCGAUGUCGGCUUUUCCUAUCCUGGUCCUGCAGCAGGGGCCAAGGGUGAGGCUGCUCGCCUAUUAAAAGGGAACAUGAGCUGGGUUUAGACCGUCGUGAGACAGGUCGGUCUCUGCCUGAUGGAAGCGAUGUGUAGAUCACAAGCUUCGGCGAGUGGUGAGCAUGCCAUCACUAAUCGACCAACACAUCAGCUCGGCCAUAUACAUAGAGACUAUACAUGACGUUUCAUAUUUUUAAUUUGAAUUAGUGGAAACUAUACACAAAUUUACCAUAUAGAGGCAUUUUAGAAUAUAUGUGGUAAUAAUCUCCGUUGGUUGACUGUGAGGGGCAUCUUGCUUAAAGUCCAGGGAAUUUAACUCCAAUCCCAACGGCAAAUGUCAUUCUG
rnacentral:rRNA from 1 species